rnacentral:lncRNA from 1 species
ACUGCACCACUUCGUGCUCUCUCUCUCGAACACUCUCUGUCUGGAUUCAAGAUCAGUCACAGCCUUCCUUUUCCAUCCUCAAUUCUAGUACAAGAACAAUAAGUUUAUGUCUACGCCACAUGAUACAAAACUGACUUCCAUCAGAUUGGUAAGAAAAGUAGAAGACUUCAGAGGAAUCAUAUACAUCUGCUGCAGAAUCACGCUCUACCAAUGCCAUCAAAACUCACUGAUUUUUGGGUGACUCAAAAUUCUUUGGCAACUCCUUCACUUGCUCAGCAAGUUCCUGCCUCUUCUGUGCAGCCUUAUUUGAGAUAUCUUCCAUCCUUCUGGAUAUCCUCACGGCAAAUCUCUGAAAAGCAGGGCUGUUGGCAAGACUGUUUACAAGGACCUCAUUCACAACAUAAGAUAUAACCCUGUGCAUGAAAUUCCCUCCAGCCAUGAGAGUUUCAAAAUCAGCUACUGAGAAUACGAUA